CCGCGCAAGAGCUUCGCGGCGGCUUUCGCCUGCGAGAGAUUCGGCGCCCGUCGGCGUUCCGGGGCGCGCGGCUCGUGGCAGCCCGUCUACCAAUGGAGGCAAACCAGGAGCGGAAGGAUGACUCCCUGUAAACGUGGGCUCGUGGAUGGGGUGCUGUUAAGUCGGGAUCCCGAUACGCUUGCUUCAACCGGCUGCG